GUUGAGAUGGCUCAGAGUUAAGAGUACUUACUGCUGUUGCAGAGGACCUGGGUUCAAUUCCCAGCCCCCACA
rnacentral:tRNA from 1 species